UACGUAGGGAGCAAGCGUUGUCCGGAAUCAUUGGGCGUAAAGCGCGCGUAGGUGGCCCCAUAAGUCCGCUGUGAAAGUCAAAGGCUCAACCUUUGAAAGCCGGUGGAUACUGUGGGACUAGAGUACGGAAGAGGCGAGUGGAAUCCUGGUGUAGCGGUGGAAUGCGCAGAUAUAGGGAGGAACACCAAUAGCGAAAGGGCAGCUCGCUGGGACGUUACUGACACUGGAGGCGCGAAAGCGUGG
rnacentral:rRNA from 1 species